rnacentral:rRNA from 1 species
AGAGUUUGAUCCUGGCUCAGGAUGAACGCUGGCGGUAUGCUUAACACAUGCAAGUCGAACGAAAGUCUUCGGAUUUUAGUGGCGGACGGGUGAGUAACGCGUGAGGAUCUGCCUAUAGGUUGGGGACAACAGAUGGAAACGUCUGCUAAUACCCAAUGUGCCGAGAGGUGAAAGCUUUAGUGCCUGUAGAUGAGCUCGCGUCCGAUUAGCUAGUUGGUAGGGUAAAGGCUUACCAAGGCGACGAUCAGUAGCUGGUCUGAGAGGAUGAUCAGCCACACUGGGACUGAGACACGGCCCAGACUCCUACGGGAGGCAGCAGUGGGGAAUUUUCCGCAAUGGGCGAAAGCCUGACGGAGCAAGACCGCGUGCGGGAGGAAGGUCUAUUGAUUGUAAACCGCUUUUGAUAGGGAAGAAGAUCUGACGGUACCUAUCGAAUCAGCAUCGGCUAACUCCGUGCCAGCAGCCGCGGUAAUACGGGGGAUGCAAGCGUUAUCCGGAAUUAUUGGGCGUAAAGCGUCCGUAGGUGGUUUUAAAAGUCUGUUGUCAAAUCGCGAGGCUUAACCUCGUACAGGCAGUGGAAACUGAGAGACUAGAGUACGGUAGGGGUAGCGGGAAUUCCCAGUGUAGCGGUGAAAUGCGUAGAUAUUGGGAAGAACACCAGCGGCGAAGGCGCGCUACUGGGCCGAAACUGACACUCAUGGACGAAAGCUAGGGGAGCGAAAGGGAUUAGAU